AUGAACGCUAGCGGCAGGCUUAACACAUGCAAGUCGAGGGGUAGAGGAAGCUUGCUUCCUGAGACCGGCGCACGGGUGCGUAACGCGUAUACAAUCUACCUUUACAGAGGGAUAGCCCAGAGAAAUUUGGAUUAAUACCUCAUAGUAUAUGGACUUCGCAUGGAGACCAUAUUAAAGUUCCAACGGCAAAAGAUGAGCAUGCGUCCCAUUAGCUAGAUGGUAAGGUAACGGCUUACCAUGGCUACGAUGGGUAGGGGUCCUGAGAGGGAGAUCCCCCCACACUGGUACUGAGACACGGACCAGACUCCUACGGGAGGCAGCAGUGAGGAAUAUUGGACAAUGGGCGCAAGCCUGAUCCAGCCAUGCCGCGUGCAGGAUGACGGUCCUAUGGAUUGUAAACUGCUUUUACACAGGAAGAAACAACGCUACGUGUAGCGUCUUGACGGUACUGUGAGAAUAAGGAUCGGCUAACUCCGUG
rnacentral:rRNA from 1 species